UACGGAGGGUGCAAGCGUUAAUCGGAAUUACUGGGCGUAAAGAGUGCGCAGGCGGUUUGUUAAGUCUGCUGUGAAAUCCCCGAGCUCAACUUGGGAAUUGCAGUGGAUACUGGCAGGCUGGAGUAUGGUAGAGGAAGGUGGAAUUCCCGGUGUAGCAGUGAAAUGCGUAGAGAUCGGGAGGAACACCAGUGGCGAAGGCGGCCUUCUGGACCAAUACUGACGCUCAUGCACGAAAGCGUGGGGAGCAAACAGG
rnacentral:rRNA from 1 species